rnacentral:rRNA from 1 species
CGGGAAACUGGGGAUAAUACCGGAUAUAUGGAGAUGCCUGGAAUGGUACUCCACUUAAAGCUCCGGCGCCUAAGGAUGGAUCUGCGGCAGAUUAGGUCGUUGGUGGGGUAAUGGCCCACCAAGCCUAUAAACUGUACGGGUUGUGAGAGCAAGAGCCCGGAGAAGGAACCUGAGAAAAGGUUUCAGGGCCUACCGGGCGCAAGCGGGCGGGAAACCUCCGCAAUGCGAGCAAUCGCGACGGGGGGACCCCAAGUGCCACUCUUAACGGGGUGGCUUUUCUUAAGUGUAAAAAGCUUUUGGAAUAAGGGCUGGGCAAGACCGGUGCCAGCCGCCGCGGUAACA